ensembl:lncRNA
UUGGCACGUGCCAAAUUAGGCCCUAAAGCUUAGGUUUACGUACAAAUGCUAAAUAGCCUAUAGAUAUAAAUGACACAAGAAUGAUACAUGUAUGGAAUUUUUUCACGUAUUGUUUUCUCUUUAUUCAACCCGACCGCCUCCCACAUAAUAUUUCAUGACCCUAAACCCGCCGCCCUGUGGAUAUAACCGCGGGACUGCUGCUUAUUAGUCAAUGCAUCACUAGUGUGUGUUACAUCUCAAUGAUUUGACCUUAUGUCUGUACAGAUUAUUGUGGCCAAGCCCAACAUCCUUCUCCCUGCCUCUGUGAGUGCCCUGAAGAAGGCAUCACGCCUGAUGGAGUUGGUCCCUACUGUCCGGCCCUGCAGGGAGCAGCUGGACAAGAAGACACAGUGGACCAACACCAACGAGGAGAGCCUGAGGAGGAUUAAAAAAAAACUGGCCUCCAUAGAGCUCGACCUGGAGGAAGGCCUGAACAAGGUCAACGACGGUCAGGACAUCAACCAAGAGAGGCAGAAGAAUGAGGGAUGCUUCAGAGCCUGGAUUGAGAAGUGGAUGGGGAAGAGGAAGGAGGAAAGACUGAGGGAUGAAGAUGUGAAUAGGGAAGAUAAAGGGAGGAUGGGCGAGGAAGUGAGGGCACUGAUCCAAGUGAUGAAGAGAAACUGCAGUGAAAGUGAUCUUGAGGCAGUAAACCUGGACAGUUGGCUGAAUGACUUGGAAAGGUUGAAAGUGGCCUUCAAGAAAUGCACUGGAGAGAUGGCCGAAAUGAGCCCAGGGAAAGUCUCUGGUCCUGUGUCUGGCCUCUCUCCUCUUGUGACCUCAGCACCCCGGACCCUGGCUGAAGCCCUACAAGCCCUGCCCUCUGCUGUGGCCCGUCCCUCCCAAAAGGAUGUCCCAAAGCCUCCGACACCUCCAAGCCCUGUCUCUGUCAUUGUUGCUUCGCCUGCUGUGGAGUACUUACCAUACCACCGCAGCCCUCGCCUGGCCCCAAUCACCAACCUGAGUGAGAACGGCAGGAAGCUGCUCCAGAAAAUGUCAGGAGUGACGCCACAGGUGAGAGGAAACAGGAAGGGAAUAUUAGCCAUAUUUCCUUCUACAGUAUAUCAUACCUCUAGAUACCAUAGCUCAAGAGUAGAAAAUAGCCAUAAGCUUAUAUUACUUUAUCUCCUUGUCCAAAAUAUUCAGGAAAGGAAGGUCAAAAGGAAAAAGACCAAGGGAAAAAAGCAAGUGAAGAAAGAGAAGGCCAGUAAGAUGCAGCAGGUGGAAAAUGUUGGAGAAACUAAGGAGGACAAGAAAGAUGAAAAGAAGAGUCUGAGGAAGAGGUGAGGAAAUAGAAGAGGGGAACAUAACAAGGGCGUUUUAGAGAUUUAUAGAAAUAGAAUGAGGUAGAGAAAUAUAGAAAUUGAAUGAGGUAGCAGAGAAAGAGCAGCUAUCUGAUGUUUAAUGGCAAACUACUAUUUAUUCUCCUGUUGUGUUUGAUUGACAGGUUUCUCCAGUGGCUGCUGCCCAAACUGAGAUGUUCGAAGAAAUAAUGGCCAACUACUACUACAACACACACACACACACACACACACACACACACACAUACUAUUGAUAUUGGUUUCAUUGUUAUAUUUUGAGAUAUGCACCAUUCUUAAAAAAAUAAAAAAGACCCAAUAAUUAUAUUGGUUCCCAUACAGCCUACUAGGGUAGCGUAUGAUAAUGGGUUGGAUUUACAUAGCGUGUAGUAAUCAGGCUUGAAAAUAUAGCCAGGAGAUGCAGGGUCAACACCCCUACUCAUGUCAUAAGUGCCAUGAGAUGUUUAGUGACCACAGAGAGAUAGGACCUCUGUGUGCACAGUCUCAUCCGAAGGACAGCACCGGCCGCAGGGCAGUGUCUGGCAUUGGGGUCUUAGGUCUUCUUUGGCCAAAGGGAAGUGAAGAGGGCCAGUAUGAGAGAGCACAAACUUUCUUAGCAGAUAAUGAUAACAUGACAACAGUAGCUGUAGAUGAUGUAAUGAAAAGUUGGAGGGUGGUUGGUAAUGGAGAACAUCGGGUGGAUCCACGUCUGGGUGUUGGGCAGGACCCUUAGCUCCUGGAGAACAGGAGUAGAGUUAAAGGGAACAGGGUAGGCGACAGAGACGUAAACACUCCGGUAGCUCUCCUUCUGUUUCUCCUGCGCCUUGUCCAUGUUCUGUCUCACCUUGAUUGAUGACAGGAAUACAUGCAAUUAUAUUUCAUAUUACAAAUAUAUUUCUUACAUAUCUCUUGGAGGGACAGAAAAUACAUUAACAGAGGACAAUCAUUUUUACCUGGUCAAAAACCUCCACGUCCUUCUCAGUCUGUGCUUGAAGAUAGUACUCAAAGGCGUUCUGAUCUGGUUCGACAACUUCCACCACAUCAGGUGGGGUUUCAGUGAUCUGAAAGCACGUUAUGCAAAAAUAGCAAUAGACAAACACUAAGUCAAUCCCAAUUUUGAAAGACUACAGUAUAUGCAAUAAUUGUAUAUACAAUUGCAUUGUUUACCUCAGUCAACAGCUGCGGCUCCCGUCCAUACUCAGCCUGGAUGCUGCUGUUGUGUGCAAAGAGAAUUACCUUCAGGUUGUUCUCCCACCCUUCCUGAUACCAAUCAAGGGACUUGCCCAUGGCUGUCUUGAGGGUCUGGUUGGUCCAUUUACUAAGGGUUUUGAAAAACGUUGUUUUAAUCUAGGUUGUAUAAAUCAAGAGUACCAAGAGAUUUGUCGACUGUAUGGGUAAAAAAACACAAAGUACAAAACACACAAGCCAAAAGGAGGUCUUUACAAUCAACUGACAAUCAAAGUUUUCUUGCAUUGAUUUGACCUUGAACAUUCAGAGCCUGCUUGUGUAUUCAAACCAAAAACAUCCGUGAAGAAAAAGUGGACCUUCAAGUACUGCCUCAAACCACUUGUCCAAGCAUAUUACAUCUCAAUGUAUAACAUGAGACAGAAAACACAUUGAAUGAAAACUAUGGGCUCGAUUAAAUCUGUAUCGCUGAAGUUCAGAGCUAUAGCGGCUUAUAACCACACUGACAUCAUUUUUUAAAAACGUUAUUAGUUACACCAUAAGUUGACGUUUUUACAAGGAUUGUGAUUGCUGAAAAUAGCGCACUUGAAAUGUAAAGGUCAUUUCCAAUCUUUGAGAACAUUGCCUUUGAAUUUCAAUCGAGCUAUAGUGAGUUUUGGUGUUACUGAUUGAAGUCAUCAAUCUGUCAGUGAAGACACAGGUGCUCCUGGAUGAACCGUCACAGAUUCUGUUAUAGUGACUCCGGCAUGUUUGCUGUGAAACUCUGGGGGACACUGACAGACAGACAGUGGGCUGAGGUGGGAAUGUUGAAAAUGUGGAUGUUGAGCCACUGGAGCCCAGUGACUGCUGGUUUGAGAGGCAGAUGCAUGCCCAUGACUGAGUCCAUGGCCAAAGCUGUGUUUGUGACUAUGUCCAUGGCUGCAGCUGUGUCCAUGCUUGUGACCAUGUCCGUGACUUGGCCUCAAGCCCCCCAUGGUUGUGUCCGUAAAAACCUAUGAGCUGAACAGGGCUCCCCUGUGUAUAGUAGGAGUGGGCCCAGCCUUCAAAUUUCUUUGGUGGGGUCUCGGUAGCCUGUAGGUUGGAGGUAGAGGACACUGGAGCGUAGGCUUGAUCUGGGCAGGAGCCUGGUGUUGGAAUGAUUCUGCAAUCAAUGAGAACGUAGACAGAUUUCAGAGAGCUUCUCUAUACCAGUGAUUCUCUAUCUAAUCAUGGGGGACCACUAGGUGCCUAUUGUAAAGUAUUCAAUUACAGCUGAGGAUCAUCUAUUAUAACUGCACCUCAUUAUACUGUAGUGUGUAACGGAUGUGAAACGGCUAGCUUAGUUAGCGGUGCGCGCUAAAUAGCGUUUCAAUCGGUGACGUCACUUGCUCUGAGACCUUGAAGUAGUAGUUCCCCUUGCUCUGCAAGAGUCGCGUCUUUUGUGGAGCUAUGUGUAACGAUGCUUCGUGGGUGACUGUUGUUGAUGUGUGCAGAGGGUCCCUGGUUCGCGCCCGGGUAUGGGCGAGGGCGAAGUUAUACUGUUAUACAAGUACAUCAUGUGCUCUGGCUUGCACACAGCAAAUGUUAUUUAAUGUCUUGUCUGAUAAAUGAUGGUUCUGGUGCUUUCUCAGUACUCACGGUGGGUGGACCGUCUUCCUUCUCGCCUCUAUUGAUGCAGGGACAUACAGUACACCAAUGUUCCUCAGCAGCCUGAAAGGCAUCUUCUUAUCCAGCACUGAUGCCCUGGCAUCGGACAUGUUCAGAAGUGAGAGCAAGCCUUUUCCGUCUGUUUCACCGGUGCAAGUUAAGGAGAAUGUGUGAAGCAGUGAUGCAAGAUUUUUCUAAACAAACAUGCCAUAAUGUUUAGCAGCAGGACUCAUACACAAGACCUAUAACCUAAUAACACUUAACUACACUACUAAGCACACUUCUAAAGCUGUGACAUACUGCAGAGGAGCGUAUCACAUUUAUUUUGAACCGCAAUGAGGUUGGAAUAAGGAUACAGAUCUCCCCUGCGAUGAGUGCACUGUGGCCAUACACAUACAGGAGAAGGAUACUGGCAUGAACCCCUCCACCAAACAGUAGCAGACCCAGUAUGCUGUACAACACCCAUGUGCUGAUAGAGAGCAGCAGAAACCAAACAGUGCUCACACUCUUCUCAAUGCCACCAGAGAGGCCCCAGAACCCCAAUACUGAGGAGUAGCUGGGUCACUGUCUUGUGGUGGAAGACAGUGACCCAGCCCUCCUUCCUGCUCGAUCAUCCUAUUUUUCCAACUUAAUUGAGGAAAAUAAGAACAAUCAGAAAUUUAUUUUUU